rnacentral:lncRNA from 10 species
CUUCAGGAGAUAUUUGUGUAUGGUUUGCUUUUUGUUGUUUUGUUUGUUGAUUUUGCUUUGCUUGGAGCAAAGUUUUAAAUUUAAUUUCUGUACAAAAGCUAUUACAAAAGAGGAACUGGACCAACAGGACCCAAGGGAGAGUAUCAAAGGCAAAACAAAGGAAAAUGAGGACAACCCAAUACUCAGAAAAAAAAACGAGUAAUUCAUGGAUUCACAACGGGCAACAAACUAGAUGACUAUUAGGAAGAGAAGAGCAAACCUUAUGAUCUCAAAAUGAUUUCUUGUUCAUUUGCAUCCUCGCAUCAAUCUAGACUUUAAGAAAUAUGUGAUUUUUAAAUAAAUGGGUAUAUCUGCAUAAUAGUGUUUUGGCAUUAAAUUAUUUGAUAUGACUAUUAAACAUGUUUCUGCAAAAACCACUUCACCAUACUGCUAGAAUCUAGCAGCUAGAUUGACCCAACACUUCAUUAUGUCAUUCCCUUGCUCAAAGGUUGAAAGCAACCAGAUGUGGUGGCUCACACCUGUAAUCCCAACACUUUAGGAGGCCAAGACAGGAUGAUCACUUGAGCCCAGGAGUUCAAAACUAGCCUGGGCAACAAAGUGAGACCUUUUCUCUACACAAAAUAAAAACACAUAGUCCCAGCUAUUUGGGAGGCUGAGGUGGAAGGAUCGCUUGAGCUCGGGCGGUCAAGGUGGUAGUGAACUGUGAUUGCACCACUGCACUCCAGCCUAUAUAACAGAAUGAGCCUGUCUUAAAAAUAAAAAAUAAAGUUGUAACUAUUCUCUGCUAAGUAGAAUAUAAAAAUGCCCUAACCUUACACUCAGAUUUCCACAAUUAAGCUCUAUUCUGCCCCCUAUCCACACCCUUUUUCACUAUUGCUCUACAGAAACCCUCUUCUUUGACAAAAUUAAUUUUCUUAGUGUGCCUCAAACACACAAUCCCAUGUGAACACUGACCUUUCAUAAAGAUGAUAUUCUCGCCACCCCAGCCACAUACUUAACUAGGCUACUAGAUACAUGUGUCCUCUGUGGUCUCCUAGUGGAAAUUCUGUUUUUAAUGUUAAUACAAAUAAUUUUUUAAGCAAUGCAAGUUUCUUGACAUUGUUUAGGAAACGUCAGUGGUUAGAGUGAUUUAGUAUUGCGUACUGAAAAUAAUAGAAAAAAUAUCGACACUGAGUCAUAUCUACUUCUUUACCUUCGACCUUUUAAAAUGUACUUGUGGGAUUUAGAUUAUCUUUGGAUUGAACUAUACAAUACAAUAAAAUGUAAAAUUAAGUGCCCCAUGUUUGAGAGACAAUCAUUGUACUUGAGGUAGAAAAGUGCUUUAAACAGUGAUGAGACUUGGUUUUAUAUUGUCGCUUCACAUAUGUUUGUUGGACCAGGUUUUCUGUGGGUGCGUGUAUUUGAUUACAUUGUUUAGUUAUAGGGAAUGUGCACCUGUUUUUUGUUGUUGUUGUUGUUGUUGUUUUCAGCUGGGCGCAGUGGCUCACGCCUGUAGUCCCACCACUUUGAGAGGCCAAGGUGGGCAGAUCACUUGAGGUCAGGAGUUUGAGAUGAGCCUGGGCAUCAUGGCAAAACCUUGUCUCUAUUAAAAGUACAAAAAUUAGGCCAGGC